rnacentral:rRNA from 1 species
GACGAACGCUGGCGGCGUGCUUAACUCAUGCAAGUCGAACGGAAAGGCCCUGCUUGCAGGGUACUCGAGUGGCGAACGGGUGAGUAACACGUGGGUGAUCUGCCCUGCACUUCGGGAUAAGCCUGGGAAACUGGGUCUAAUACCGGAUAGGAGCCAUUUUUAGUGUGAUGGUUGGAAAGUUUUUUCGGUGUAGGAUCAGCUCGCGGCCUAUCAGCUUGUUGGUGGGGUAAUGGCCUACCAAGGCGGCGACGGGUAGCCGGCCUGAGAGGGUGGACGGCCACAUUGGGACUGAGAUACGGCCCAGACUCCUACGGGAGGCAGCAGUGGGGAAUAUUGCACAAUGGGAGCAAGCCUGAUGCAGCGACGCCGCGUGGGGGAUGACGGCCUUCGGGUUGUAAACUCCUUUCGCUAGGGACGAAGCUUUUUGUGACGGUACCUAGAUAAGAAGCACCGGCUAACUACGUG